UUCGCCUGUUUUUCAAAAACAUCGCCAGAAAAUAACUUCUGGUUGAAUCUGCCCGGUGAUUUGAUUUAACGGCCGCAGUAUCCUGACUGUGCUAAGGUAGCAUAAUCAUUAGUCUUUUAAUUGGAGACUCGUAUAAAUGAUCUGACGAGAAACUUUCUAUUUUAGCAGUACUAUGAACUUAAGAGAGAGAUCAAAACUUCUCUUUACACCAAAAGGACGACAAGACCCUAUAAAACUUUACCUUGAUUAAAUCUAUUUCCUAAGAGCAUUUCUUACUUUAUGAAAGGUUAUGCUGGGGCGGCAAAUUUUAAUAUUAACAAACUUUAUUCUAACAAAUUGUUUGAAUUUUAUAAACACUUUAUGUACCUAAGACCAAGUUACUUUAGGGAUAACAGCGUUAUAUUUCUCUAGAGCCCUUAUCGACAGAAAUGUUUACGACCUCGAUGUUGAAUUGAGUAACCUAAGCGGAGCAGCCCUUGCUAAAGGAAGUCUGUUCGACUUUUAAAUUCUCACAUGAUCUGAGUUCCAAACCGGA
rnacentral:rRNA from 1 species